GACGAACCGUGCGAACGUUAUUCGGAAUCACUGGGCUUAAAGCGCGUGUAGGUGGGACGGCACGUCGGUCGCUGAAAGCCCCCGGCUCAACCGGGGAAGGGCGCCGAUACGACCGGCCUGGAGGGACGUAGGGGGACCUGGAACUUCCGGUGGAGCGGUGAAAUGCGUAGAUAUCUGGAGGAACACCGGUGGCGAAGGCGGCAUCCUGGACCAACACUGACGCUGAGGAGCGAAAGCGUGGGGAGCAAACAGG
rnacentral:rRNA from 1 species